CACAGAACACACCUGGCUCCAAGGUUCCAGUGAAAUAUUUCUCUCUGCCCAGAGUUAAUGUUGCAGGUCUCAGCCCCACUGUCCUUUUCAUCUGAUACUUUUUCCCCCCUCACCUCCUUACUUUAUGACAUGAUGGCUAAUUCAUCCUGGAAGUAAAGAAAUGUAAGUUAAAACCUCAAAACACCAUUUUGAAUUAUAGUUUUAGUCGGGACAGGACUACAGUGAAGGGCUGUUUGUAAGAGUCACUGGAAACAAGCGGGAUCUUUAUAGCAGGCCCCAAGUGGUAACCGCUUUUGUCAUUUGCUCUGGAAUUGGGGGCAGUGACGACAGAGAAAGUUUUGUGGUGAAAUCAGCUGGCCCCAGAGACAUCUGAUCUGUGCUUCUCUGUGAAGCCCAAUUAUUCGGAACCUUUGUUGGGAAUGAAGGGACUAUUGAAAG
rnacentral:lncRNA from 1 species